UCCAAAUGAUUUCAGACACCCAAAAGAAUAGUUUGUUGGCUGUGAUGUUUAGUAUGGAUUUUAAGUCUAAAAUACCCAAAAGUAGUUUAAGCAUGAUUUUGACUGACUUUUCUAUCAAAUUUUACAAAACUUACACUUUUUUUUUCAAUCAUUGCCAGAAACCCAAACAUUGUAAAUAAUAUCUUCCACCGUAAAUUGAAUCCGGGUGACAGUAGUUACAACCAUAACCUUUUUACCACUAGGCCAACUCAACUUUGGUAAAACUUACACCUUUAGAGUACGUUAAAUAUCCUUCAAUGUUUUGAGAUAGGUCGAUUUCGAUUUGAUCUAUGCAGUCUUGCAUUUGUUUCUUCCCAAAUUUCGUAAAGUAUUACUUGUUGUACGCGCUUACAAA
rnacentral:lncRNA from 1 species